UGUCCUUGGAAUGAUGUUGUUGACCUCAGGGUCCCGCACAGAGCUCGUCCAGCAGUGUUCUGGGGUGACCAGUCGCCUGUCAGAUGCUGCGUUCAGAUAGGAGACGUGAUGUUGCCCUGCCAAGCUCAGCUCCGGGAGACGGGGGGCACAAUGGGACCUCUGUGUAGCGCUCCAGGGAACCAUUUGCUAGACAGUAAGAAGACUUUUGGAACAGUUUGAACAAGCUGCUGACUUGACCUGAAGCGACAUCCCCUCCACAUCCAGUCAACGAACCCGUCUCUGCUUCCUCUGGCCAAUCCUUCCAGGUCAAGUGCACUCUCAGCCCAAAAAGGUCAUCAGGCGACAUUCUUGCGAGACGGAAUUCCCCAGCCAGCCGGAGAGAGCAGGAGUGUCACAUGCCAACACACAUGUACCGGGGGGCCACGUCAGAGCUGGAGCGUGCGUGAGAAAGCGUCAGAGUUCCCCCUUUUUCCCCCUCUGAAGGCUGCACCCGCGACUCCGAUCCGAUGAUGUCAAGGCCCUUUCAGAAACGAAGUGACGGGGAGGUACAUUUUCCCGUUCUUCAAGCAUCAAAAUUUCCCAAAUGUACCCUCUUGGGUACAAAUGAGUAGGUUCUCUUUGGGUACAAAUAAAUAUGUUUUCCAAGCAAAAAAUUAAUUAUAUAUUGUUGGCAAGGGGUAUAUUAUUAUGUACAUAUACGGUACCACCGCAACGACAAGGAUUUGUACAUUAUUUCUGAGAGUGUGGUUAUCUUGGUAUGUGUGUGUAUGUGUGGUAUGUGUAUGUAUAUGUAUGUGUAUGUGUAUGUGUAUGUAUAUGUAUAUGUAUGUGUAUGUAAAUAUGUAUGUACAGUAUAUGUAUGUAUAUGUGUAUGUAUGUAUGUAUGCAUGAAUGUAUGUUUGCAUGUGUGUAUGUGUAUGUAUGUCUGUAUGUAUAUAUAAAUAUAUGAGUAUAUUCAAAUAGGUGUGUAUAUGUAGGUAUAAAGAAAUUAUAUAUAGCUAUCAUAAUAUAUAGUAAGUAUACAGCGCAUUUGGAAUUGAUUAUUGAAAUUAUGAUUAAUGAAAUAAGGGGGUAGGAGUAAAUAAGUCUUUACUUCUUCCUACUCCUUUUUGCACACAGGGGAUGAGAAAUUAUCGCACUUUUAUUUAUUUUGUUUUUUUUAUUUUUUAUUAUAUA